UAAUUUCAAUUGACCAAUCUUCAAGUUUGCUGAUUGUUGCUUCUCCCUGCUCAAAUAUCCUAUUGAAACCCCCUGCCAUAAGAACCUUAAGGGAAGGUGCAGAGGGGGAUUCUCCCUCUUCCCCCCACAGUUUUGGCGUAGUCGCCAGGAGCCACACUGGCUGGCAAGUUGCCUUCUCUGGCUGGAAGAACUGCCUUCUCCUUGGGCUACUGCAGAUGAUGAGAUAUGGGAACGCCUGAUAAAAGCCAGCAAAAGGUAAGAUUUCUUACCACGUCAGGCUCGCGGAAUCUCUAUCUGCAGGGUCUGGUGGAAGCAAGCGGACACAAUUGGAAACACUGGUUAUAUUACCAAGGCUGUGACUGGAACAUCAUAUUUGCGAUAUAACCAUACAGCUUUUGAGGAAUGAAGAUUGGACUUUAUGGAGUAAAGCCACGUGGAAGUAUUGGCCUGGUACCUUAUGUUCCAAGCAACACUUACCAGGAUAAGUAAAGAAUGUCACUUAUCUGGCAGGUACAAGGAACCUCAAAAUAUUUUGGGGGAACCUCGGAAGAGAGGAAUUCACCCAAAUCUGUAGGUAUUACAGGCGAAGUCUGAUGACAAAAUCCUUGGCUUGGCUUUCCUGGCCUCGAGAGGCCUUUAAAGUUCAAUCUGAGAUUCCUUAUAAAAAGUUCCAGCAAAGCAGAUUUAAAAGAGCCUAUGUGAUCAACUGCUAUUCUUGCUGUACUUAUGUAAAUAAUUGGGCCAACUUUAUUGGAACUAGACUUAUUUUGCAAACUAGUUAGUUUUAAUUUGGCCAUCUUAAUGAAAAUGAGGGUGAUUUUAGAGAGAAAAAUUAUAUUUCAGUAAAAACUCUAGUAUACAUUUGCGGAUAUUAGAUCUUAGUUUUGUUGUCUUUUGCGGUUUUUGUUUUAUAUCUGUUAACUGGACUGGAUCCUGAUUUCUUCUAGUCUCCUAAAAUAUCUGGCUACAGAUCUCCUAACUAACGUUUUUGAUUUUUUCCAUCAUUUUCAUUUGAAAUCACUGAGAACUGAACCUGCCCUUUAUCCUGAAGCCUUACAAACUGAAGCUGAUGGACUUGAUAUAAACUUAAGAGAUGACCUGACGACACCAUCAGAGACAUUUUAAACUGCGAAAGAUACUUUGACGCUGACAUCUAAAAAUCAUCUUAACUGGUUGUCCUCUGACCUCAGAAACUGGUUUACAAUUUGCUCCAACCAUUAACCUUGUUUUUCUUUUGUUUCCAUAGAAAUGCUUCUAUUAAAUAUUUGAUUGCUUGCUUCCACAACAUAGGCGUAACCUUGAGAGCCCACCUGCAUCACCACCUUCUGAAAUGAAUUUAAUUGAACUGAUCUAUUAUCAGGACUAAGAAAUGUGUUCAGUGAGAUGAAACAAUCUACCAACUCAGCUUCUGGACUAUGAAACUUCUUUAAGUUUCAAAAGGACUGUGAAACUUUUAGUUUCAAAGGCGGGACUGUGGGAGAUCAAAAUUUGGCCACCCUGAAAUAUAUCUCUUUACCUUGAUUGUUUUCUCUGAAGGACAUUUGACCUCCCCCAC